GACGAACGCUGGCGGCGUGCUUAACACAUGCAAGUCGAACGGAAAGGCCCUGCUUUUGUGGGGUGCUCGAGUGGCGAACGGGUGAGUAACACGUGAGUAACCUGCCCUUGACUUUGGGAUAACUUCAGGAAACUGGGGCUAAUACCGGAUAGGAGCUCCUGCUGCAUGGUGGGGGUUGGAAAGUUUCGGCGGUUGGGGAUGGACUCGCGGCUUAUCAGCUUGUUGGUGGGGUAGUGGCUUACCAAGGCUUUGACGGGUAGCCGGCCUGAGAGGGUGACCGGCCACAUUGGGACUGAGAUACGCACCAGACUCCUAUGGGAGGCAGCAGUGGGGAAUAUUGCACAAUGGGCGGAAGCCUGAUGCAGCAACGCCGCGUGCGGGAUGACGGCCUUCGGGUUGUAAACCGCUUUCGCCUGUGACGAAGCGUGAGUGACGGUAAUGGGUAAAGAAGCACCGGCUAACUACGUG
rnacentral:rRNA from 1 species